GCAGAGAGUCUAAACCCCGGAAGGUAGUGACCUGGGGGAACAAGGACAGCAUUCAGAGACCACGAGCAGGUGUGCUACACAACAGCAGGCUAACGCAAAACAGAAAAUGACAGGGCUGAUAACGGUGAAAACUCUUAACUGCAACAUUGAGCAGGAGGUUUUGUUUGCGGGCUGUUGGGAAAGGUUCUCUCUUGUUUGCAUAGUUGGUGAUGACAGAGAUUGAACAGGUCUUACCGCUCUGUGGUUCCACAACCCAUCGCCUGUGCAGCCAGGACCUUGGCAGAGAAGUCUCUCCACUAUUUCCUGGAAAGCUACCUUUAUGGAGACACCAGUGAUGCCAACAUCUACCCAGUACCGGGAUGUGUAGCAGUGGUGAUGGGAUGGGAUCUCAAAGGAAGCUUUGGUGUUUUAUCUUGGAAAUCUAUGGGCCCAGCCUAGUCUCGGUAUUACUGCAGACAGGACCAACAGGACAGACAACCUAAGAUCCAGGUGAACGAUGUGAAAACCAUGCUCUUUGAACCAGAAAUCCAGAAUCCAGGGCCUGCAACUGUGCCUGCUCCCUACCAUGUGCACACUGGAUGUCUAUGAAUAUGUGCGAAACCAGAUUUAUGAAUAGAAGUUAGAGUGCUUCUAGCUCUCACUGUACUUCUAACUUAUUUGGAUCAAGUCUCUUGCCUCUG
rnacentral:lncRNA from 1 species